UGAUCCAUUUUGAGUUAAUUUUUAUAUUUGGUACAAAGUUUGGAUAACAGGUUUUGUUUUGUGUUUUGUUUUGUUUUGUUUGGCACGCAGAUAUCCAAUUGUCCCGGCACCCACUUGUUGAAAAGACUCUUGUUCCUCCACUGAAUUAUCUUGGAACAUUUGUCAAAAAUCAAUCGACUGUUUACAUGUGGGCCUAUUUCUGGACUCUCUUCUGUUUUGCUAUUUGCCCGUCUCGAGGGUGAUGCCACACUGCCCUGGUUCCUGUAGCUUUAUGGCACUGUGCCGGGAGCUAGGAAUACGGCUGUGAACCAGACAAAGUCCUGCCUGCAUGGAGCUUACAGUGUGAUGGACGGCUCUGGCGACAGGGACCAACAAAGAAAUGCAAAAGAUCAGGGGGCCCAAGUGCUCUGAUGGAAACCACAGUGGGGAAACUUCCAUGCAGGUAGUCUGGGGUGAUGAAAUGUCACAGAAGAGAGAUGCCCAGCAAGGCCGGAGCAGAGGCCCAUGGCACGGCCAGACACCGGGGUAGGCGUUGAAUGAGCCCCAGCUGACCAGGCAAACCCACGAAAACACUAACACGGAGAGUGCUUUCUGUAGUAGUGACUGUCAAGAGAUUUUAGUCCACUUAAUCCUCACGACAGAUCGUAUGAGGUCGGUGCUGUCACUGUAUCCAUCUUACAGCUCAGGAAACUGAGGCAGACGCAGGCAGAAACCAGGAGGGCUGAGACUGGAACCCUGGCAGUAUUUCUCCAGAAUCUCCCAUUUAACCACUGAGCUACACACCCAGCCAGCAUAAAGCCAGCUAAUGAUAGACAGGGUCCUACCUGGCUUACGAAGGCAGUUGGCAUUUACAAGUGCACGGGUGGCCUAGCGGAGGCAAGAACGGGCUUUGGAAUUAGGCCUGGAUUCCACUCCCCGCACUGACACCAAUGAACCCUGAGGCUGACCCUCCCCGGAGUCUGCAUUUCGUUCACUGGGAAGUGGAAGGAACACCUGCCUUAGCAGUGGGUGUGAGAAAUGUUGGGUGAGAAGGUUCUGGCAUAGGGCAGAUUUUCAUUAAACGAUUACUUUUACUACUUUGACAGAUGAGCUGGGGAGGUGGCCUGCUCCAAACUGAGACUUGAGAAGAAUCUCUCUUAAAAGAGAGGCCCAAUCUUCCUCGGCUAUGGGGGCACAGAGGAGGGGUGACAGGUAGCUGAAGGGAUCUGGUGGCUUCAGAGGACACAGCACGAGCAAGUGGUUGGGACUCUGGCUUCAGAGCUCAGCAGACUCGAGUUCAAGUUCCGGUAUCCAGCACGUGCUCACUGGGUCUCCUUGGGGAGUCGCUUAGCUUCUUGGAGUCUGUGAAAUGAGGACGCUGAGAGUACCUUCCUCGUAGGGGUGAGAAGAAUAGGUGGAAUCAUUCAGGGAAAGGAGUGCUGGGCACACCGGCUGGCACAUAGUGUCUAUGGAGGACUCCACGUGGCAAGGAAGUGAUGCCUCUGGCCGAGGGCUAGCAAGGACCUGAAGCCUGCCAAAAUCCACGUGAGUACGUUUAAAAGCAGAUCCGCCACUGGAGCCUCGAGGUGACCAAAGCCCUAGUCGAUGCCUUGACUCUAGCCCUAUGAGAGUCUUUGAGCCAAAGACACCCUCUGAGGGGCAUUAGGCUUCCUGACCCCCAGAGACCGUGUUUGUGGUUUUUAGCUGUGUAACUUGUUACGCAGCUAUGGGUAACUAAUACACCAUCAGAUGAGUCUGCUGGAUGAUGAGUGACACGUGGCCUGCUCACUUCCUUUCACCCAGCCAGACAACCGCUGGAUGUGAGAGUGAGGCCAUCCCAGACCAACUAGCCCUUAGUCAACCUGUCAGCUGCUUGCAGACGUGGGGUUGGGCCAACCCAGGAUCAGCUGUGCCUGGCCCAGAGCAGCAGAAGUCCUGCCUGAACUUGGACCCGGCCGCAAUGAUAUACAUUGUUGUCUUAAGCUACUAAGCCUUGGGAUGAUUUUGUACCCAGCAGUAGCUGACUGAUACAGCCUGUGUAGCCGGAGCUGUGUGCACACAGUAGGAAAUGGGGCUGGGAAGCUGUGCAGGGGCCUAAUGUGGAGGGCUUUGCUGCCAGGUUAAGGCAUCUGGAGUCUAAUUUGCGGGCAGUCGGGGCAGGUUUUGAGCAGGAGAAGAAGGUCAUGAUCAGAGCUGUGGUUGAAGACAUUUCUUGUGGCAGGGGCAUGAAUUGGAGGCAGCGGGAUCAUUUAGGGGGCUGCUGUGUCAUGAGGCCGAUGGGCAGUGACGGAGGCUUGAAAUUAGGAAACGGUGAGGAAUGGGAGAGAACAGUGGAGGUGGAAUCAGUGAAAACCGUUCUGGACUGGGUUGGGGGCCUGGCAUUGGGAGAGUGGAAGUCGACACCCAGGUUUUGUUCCUGGGAGCCUGAAUGGUCGGUGGUGCUGUUGACAAAGACGGGGAGAUCAGC